UACGGAGGGGGCUAGCGUUGUUCGGAAUUACUGGGCGUAAAGCGCACGUAGGCGGCUUUGUAAGUUAGCGGUGAAAGCCCGGGGCUCAACUCCGGAAUUGCCUUUAAGACUGCAUCGCUCGAAUUGUGGAGAGGUAAGUGGAAUUCCGAGUGUAGAGGUGAAAUUCGUAGAUAUUCGGAAGAACACCAGUGGCGAAGGCGACUUACUGGACACAUAUUGACGCUGAGGUGCGAAAGCGUGGGGAGCAAACAGG
rnacentral:rRNA from 1 species